rnacentral:rRNA from 1 species
CAGUAGCCACGGUAAUACGUAGGGCGCAAGCGUUAUCCGGAAUUAUUGGGCGUAAAGAGCUCGUAGGCGGUUUGUCGCGUCUGCCGUGAAAGUCCGGGGCUCAACCCCGGAUCUGCGGUGGGUACGGGCAGACUAGAGUGAUGUAGGGGAGACUGGAAUUCCUGGUGUAGCGGUGAAAUGCGCAGAUAUCAGGAGGAACACCGAUGGCGAAGGCAGGUCUCUGGGCAUUAACUGACGCUGAGGAGCGAAAGCAUGGGGAGCGAACAGGAUUAGAUACCCCCGUAGUCCCUGUCUCUUAUAC